AUUGACUUGGACAAUAAAAUAAUUAUUUUAU
rnacentral:rRNA from 1 species